UUGGCCCUUCCACUGAACGCUUGACCUUCUGAAAUGAAUGGGGACACUUUCUAUAGUUAUUUGAAUUGCGGGAAAGCGGCUCCAGAAUGUCUUGGAGACGUGACUCAGCAAGAUGCAGGUGUCCACGGUGAGCCGACAGCCCCUUCCUCAAUCCAGAUCUCCAGGUGAGCUGACAGCCCCUUCCUCAAUCCGCAUCUCCAGGUGAGCUGACAGCCCCUUCCUCAAUCCGCAUCUCCAGGUGAGCUGACAGCCCCUUCCUCAAUCCGCAUCUCCAGGUGAGCCGACAGCCCCUUCCUCAAUCCAGAUCUCCAGGUGAGCUGACAGCCCCUUCCUCAAUCCGGAUCUCCAGGUGAGCUGCGGCCCCUUCCUCAAUCCGGAUCUCCAGGUGAGCUGACAGCCCCUUCCUCAAUCCGGAUCCCCAGGUGAGCUGACAGCCCCUUCCUCAAUCCGGAUCUCCAGGUGAGCUGACAGCCCCUUCCUCAAUCCCGAUCUCCAAGUGAGCUGACAGCCCCUUCCUCAAUCCCGAUCUCCAGGUGAGCUGACAGCCCCUUCCUCAAUCCCGAUCUCCAGGUGAGCUGACAGCCCCUUCCUCAAUCGGGAUCUCCAGGUGAGCUGACAGCCCCUUCCUCAAUCCCGAUCUCCAGGUGAGCUGACAGCCCCUUCCUCAAUCCGGAUCUCCAGGUGAGCUGACAGCCCCUUCCUCAAUCCAGAUCUCCAGGUGAGCUGACAGCCCCUUCCUCAAUCCAGAGCUCCAGGUGAGCUGACAGCCCCUUCCUCAAUCCCGAUCUCCAGGUGAGCUGACAGCCCCUUCCUCAAUCCCGAUCUCCAGGUGAGCUGACAGCCCCUUCCUCAAUCGGGAUCUCCAGGUGAGCUGACAGCCCCUUCCUCAAUCCCGAUCUCCAGGUGAGCUGACAGCCCCUUCCUCAAUCGGGAUCUCCAGGUGAGCUGACAGCCCCUUCCUCAAUCCCGAUCUCCAGGUGAGCUGACAGCCCCUUCCUCAAUCGGGAUCUCCAGGUGAGCUGACAACCCCUUCCUCAAUCCGGAUCCCCAGGUGAGCUGACAGCCCCUUCCUCAAUCCGGAUCCCCAGGUGAGCUGACAGCCCCUUCCUCAAUCCAGAUCUCCAGGUGAGCUGACAGCCCCUUCCUCAAUCCAGAUCUCCAGGUGAGCUGACAGCCCCUUCCUCAAUCCGGAUCUCCAGGUGAGCUGACAGCCCCUUCCUCAAUCCGGAUCUCCAGGUGAGCUGACAGCCCCUUCCUCAAUCGGGAUCCCCAGGUGAGCUGACAGCCCCUUCCUCAAUCCCGAUCUCCAGGUGAGCUGACAGCCCCUUCCUCAAUCCGGACCUCUGGGUGAGCUGCGGGCCCCUGUCUUUGUCCUGCCCAUGGAUGGUCCAGAUCCUGGGAAGGGUCAGGCUCCCCUAGGCCCCAGAGGCAGUGCUGCCAGGCUCUGGAGUUCCAGCACAGUGUGUGCCAUCCAGUGACCCCAGGCCCUCUGCAGACACCUGCUCUCCAUUCGUGUUCUCCCCCUCUCCUCACUGAUUCCCUCCAGGACUCCUCCCCUCAGCCUGGAAUCCACCUCACUGGCGCCCCAGCUCCUGCCUUCUGCAGCUCUGCCCUGUGAGUGUCCUGAACUCUCUCCAGUGAGGCUGGGCCUGGGGCUGAGCUCUUCCUUCCGAGGCACUGACCUUGGAUUGCUGGGACAGAAUGAGUUUGGCAUACCUGCAGGAUGUCUGUUCUAACACAUGCCCCGGGCAGCUCUCCUAGACCUGAUGUCAGCAGAAUUGGCCUCUCCACCAGGAACCUGUGUGGGAGCUGAAAACGUGGCUGGGAGGGCGCCCAGGAACCUGUGUGGGAGCUGAAAACGUGGCUGGGAGGGCGCCCAGGAACCUGUGUGGGAGCUGAAAACGUGGCUGGGAGGGCGCCCAGGAACCUGUGUGGGAGCUGAAAACGUGGCUGGGAGGGCGCCCAGGAACCUGUGUGGGAGCUGAAAACGUGGCUGGGAGGGCGCCCAGGAACCUGUGUGGGAGCUGAAAACGUGGCUGGGAGGGCGCCCAGGAACCUGUGUGGGAGCUGAAAACGUGGCUGGGAGGGGAUGUGGAUGUCAGCCCUGUGUUCCCAUCUCCGCCAAAUGUUGGAGCAGAUCCUCUCACAGGCUCCAAAUGUGCACGUGCAGAAGGGUUUCGGGAACUUUUGCAGCGCUGCCUCCACAACU
rnacentral:lncRNA from 1 species